AGAAGUGUGGUUUUUAUCUACAUAUGCUCGACAUGAUCAUAUUUGCUCCGGGAAACUCCAGUUUGGCGACUCGAAGCUGAAGGAGGCUGGCAUGGCCCUCCUCCACCUCCUCCUCAUGAGCACAGGCCAUGUCUUUGCCGCCGUCCUCAUUGAUUGACACCUGCCUUCGCCUUAUAUUCGCCCUCGCCUCCCCCUCUAGCUACCCCCUCCGAUACCGCUCCUCCUAUGUCAACUUUGCCCUCACCGCCCUCCUCUUUUGCCGCUGCCUGCUCGGCUUCCUCUUUGCCCUCCAUGUAAGGAUCCGGAUCCUUUGAUUUUUUGCCUCAUGAAUCAUAAAGCAAAAGAAAAAGAAAAAAAUAUAUUUUGGUGUCACGUGCUGCGCAUGUGAGAUGGAAGAGGUGGACGCCCCAUGGAGUUUGUCUCUCCUUCCAAGUUCGAUCGGAGAAGGGAUACUAGGGCCGAUUAAACUCCGAUAAAAAUCUUAAGAUUCCUGUCUUUAAGUUCCUCAGCCAUCUCCCUCAAAUCCCCAGUCAAUCACCAGCAUAAUCAUGAGGAUUAGAGGGUUCCAAUUGUUGAGCACUUUCGAUGAGUUACCACUGGUUCAUACGAGAAAUAAGAAUAGGGAUCAAAAUAUCCAGAAGAACUCGAAUCCGAAGCCUCACGAGAUUUGAACGUACAGAUCCUCUACUUCGCGUGCAUGUCAAGUUCCGUAGAAAAGGGAUAUAAAGCCUCGAGAUGUUGCUCCUUCUGAAGGCAGCAAGGGAGGGAGAACUUUUGAUCUUGGAUGUGACCCUUUAUGCCAAGAUCUUGGAUGCCUAGAAGAAGAAGGGUGCCAAAGAAAUCUGCACGCCUAGAGGGAAAGGGAUGCCUUCCUUUCUUUUUGUUGCACCACCUUUUCUUCUCAUCACGUUAAGUUUCUUUUAUCACACAAAAUUAUCACUUUUUUCACCGGUGAAUAAAGGUUCUCUCCUUUUAUA